AAAGGAAUAGACGGGGGCCCGCACAAGCAGCGGAGCAUGUGGUUUAAUUCGACGCAACGCGAAGAACCUUACCAGGUCUUGACAUCCUGUAAAACUUGACGAGAGUCAAGGUGAGCUUGCUCGUACAGAGACAGGUGGUGCAUGGUUGUCGUCAGCUCGUGUCGUGAGAUGUUGGGUUAAGUCCCGCAACGAGCGCAACCCUUAUGUCCAGUUACUAACGCGUAAAGGCGAGGACUCUGGAGAGACUGCCGGGGACAACUCGGAGGAAGGUGGGGACGACGUCAAAUCAUCAUGCCCCUUAUGACCUGGGCUACACACGUGCUACAAUGGCUACAACAAAGAGAAGCGAGAUCGUAAGAUGGAGCGGAUCUCAAAAAAGUAGUCCCAGUUCGGAUUGUGGGCUGCAACCCGCCCACAUGAAGUCGGAGUUGCUAGUAAUCGCGGAUCAGCAUGCCGCGGUGAAUACGUUCCCGGGCCUUGUACACACCGCCCGU
rnacentral:rRNA from 1 species